rnacentral:rRNA from 1 species
UACGUAGGGAGCAAGCGUUAUCCGGAUUUAUUGGGUGUAAAGGGUGCGUAGACGGGAAGGCAAGUUGGUUGUGAAAUCCCUCGGCUUAACUGAGGAACUGCAACCAAAACUAUCUUUCUUGAGUGCUGGAGAGGGAAGUGGAAUUCCUAGUGUAGCGGUGAAAUGCGUAGAUAUUAGGAGGAACACCAGUGGCGAAGGCGACUUUCUGGACAGUAACUGACGUUGAGGCACGAAAGUGUGGGGAGCAAACAGG